CAAACUCGAGACAAACAAUGUGGU
rnacentral:siRNA from 1 species